rnacentral:misc_RNA from 1 species
UUUCCGUAGGUGAACCUGCGGAAGGAUCAUUAUUGUAUAACCGAGGUGCGAGGGCUGUGGCUGGCCCGAAAGCUCGUGCACGCCCGAGUUCCCUCACACACAUCCAUCUCACCCCUAAGUGCACCACCGCGUGGGUCCCCCUUUGGCUUGUUCGGAGGGGGGCUUACGUUUUCACACAAACUUUGUAUGCAGUGUAGAAUAUAUUAUUUGUGUUUGCGAUCACGCAAUCAAUACAACUUUCAACAACGGAUCUCUUGGCUCUC